rnacentral:rRNA from 1 species
UACGAAGGGGGCUAGCGUUGCUCGGAAUCACUGGGCGUAAAGCGCACGUAGGCGGUCUUUUAGGUCAGGGGUGAAAUCCUGGAGCUCAACUCCAGAACUGCCUUUGAUACUGAGAGACUUGAGUCCGGGAGAGGUGAGUGGAACUGCGAGUGUAGAGGUGAAAUUCGUAGAUAUUCGCAAGAACACCAGUGGCGAAGGCGGCUCACUGGCCCGGUACUGACGCUGAGACGCGAAAGCUAGGGAGCGAACGGGAUAGAAACCCCAGU